rnacentral:rRNA from 1 species
UACGUAGGGGGCAAGCGUUGUCCGGAUUUAUUGGGCGUAAAGAGCGUGUAGGCGGCCAUUCAGGUCAGCUGUGAAAACUCGAGGCUCAACCUCGAGACGUCGGUUGAAACCGUUUGGCUAGAGUCCGGAAGAGGAGAGUGGAAUUCCCGGUGUAGCGGUGAAAUGCGCAGAUAUCAGGAAGAACACCCGUGGCUAAGGCGGCUCUCUAGUACGGUACUGACGCUGAGACGCGAAAGCGUGGGGAGCGAACAGG